AGCUUGUACUGCUUCUUCUGAUUAUCUAGGAAGGUGGUGAGCUCCUUCUUCUGCUGCGACACGAUCUGCUGCUGGAACUUCUUCUCAUCUGAUGACAUUGUCUUCAUCUGAGGGGAAAUGAGAGACAGCCAAGUCACGUCAUGUGAUCGCCAUUCACAGGCUGAGCUCAAAGAAGGGAAAUACGAUCCAGGGGGGAACACUUCCAGGCCAAAGCACAGACAACAUUUGUUGGGGACUCUAGAAGGUGUCGAAAGCGUUCAACAGGGAUGAUGGCCCAUGUUGAUUCCAAUUUGGCGGGAUGUCCUUUUGGUGGUGGACCAUUCUUGAUACACA